rnacentral:sRNA from 1 species
UAAAAAGGCACUGGAUGGAGGGUGAGAAGCUCCACCGAGGUUGGCGCGCAGCGCCACGGCGAAACAGAGUGAAGCCCGCCCCGUAGGGGUGAGGUCGCAGGCCGAAUAAUCCUCCAUCCCCAGCCA